GUCAGUGUGGCCGAGUGGUUAAGGCGACAGACUAGAAUGUUCUGAGAUCUGUUGGGUUCGCCCGCGCAAGUUCAAAUCUUGUCGCUGACG